rnacentral:lncRNA from 1 species
CUCCAGAAGGAUGUCUAGCAUCUUCGCAGUGCCUUGGGGUUUCGUCUUUCAAUCCUAUUUUCUGUUAUGAUUUUUGAGCUUGUAAAGAAAAAGAAGAGGGGGAGUUCCUGUCGUUGCUCAGCAGUAACGAACCCGACUAGUGUCCAUGAGGACGUGGGUUCGAUCCCUGGCCUCACUUAGUGGGUUAAGGAUCCUGUGUUGCUGGGGCUGUGGCGUAGGCUGGCAGCUGCUGCUCCAAUUCAACCCCUAUUCUGGGAAUAUCCAUAUGCUGCAGGCGUGGCCCUAAAAAGACAAAAGGAAGGAAGGAAGGAAGGGAGAGAGAAAGAGAGAAAGAGAGGAAGGAAAGAAGGAAAGAAGGAAGGAAGGAAGGAAGGAAGGAAGGAAGGAAGGAAGGAGAGAGAAAAAAGAAAAAGAAAAAAGAAGAGGGUUACAUGUUAAUUGAAAGAGGGAGAAAUUUGCCAACUCAUGCGUGUCUAUCCAUUUAAAAAUAAUGCACAAAUUAUAAGCCAUUCCAGCCAAAUUGAAGCUCUUGUUUCAAAGGAUUCUUAGCAUGAAUUACCGAGAUAAGCGCCUGCUUAGAACAAAAAUCCCCGACACCAGUUACAAGCCCUUGUUGCCAAUUUCUUGGGCUUCCACAAAACACGUGAAUGGCUGGAGCCUCUUGAGGUCAACAUAAGGGAAGCAAGUGUUGGAAGAUGUUUCCUGUUUCCUGCCGCUUGUGCCCGAGGGCAGCUGCCAAGAGGCUCUGUCUCAGUGUUCCGAGCCCCACCGCCUCAUCCUCGUGUCGGAGGCCGAGGGGGAUGAAGAGUCAGACAAGUGGACGGACACCAAUGAUCAUUUCAAGGAAGAGCUGGCAAAGACCAAAGCGAGUCACGCUGCCCUUGGCCAACGCAUCCCCCCGUGGUGCACGCCGGUGCUGACCGAACCAAGCGGGGGUGUCUAGACCACCCUUACUGAGACCCCUUCUUCCCAAGAACAUGGCUUUUCUGAAUGACAUAGUUCAAAGAGCUGUGUAUGGGCCCUGAGCGGGGCUCGGAUGCCGGCCCUGCCUGAGCCUAGUGGAGCUCAGAAAUGUGUAGUUUCAUUACCUGCAUCGUUGAGAAUCAACUACGUGGCGUGUUUUAAAUCUCCCAAGUCUCUGCCAUGUCACAGCUGCUUUCCCUCCACCACAUUCCUCAGCCUCUGAGACCCCCACCCCUUCAUAAAGUCAGAAGACUUCUCAUGAAAGAAAAUACACUCUCAAGUACAGAAGUCAAGGUGGAAGCUGUAACCUCAUUCUCCCGGUCUCGGUAUCAGUAAGGAUAACAUCUGCCAAGGGUGAUGAAUGGUGGUUCUGAAAAGAUAGAAUUGUUCUUGCUCUCAGGUCCAAAUCUCGAGGCAGCCAGUCCAGGGCUGGCAAGGUGGCUGUGGACCAAUAAGUCCCCAGGGAUCUGGGUUCCUUCCAGAUCAUCAUCCCUGGACUGUGGCACUGGUCCUCAUGGUGCAGGAUGCCGGCUGGAGCUCCAGCCAUCACAGUUAUCUUCAGACAGCAAGACGGAAGGAAGAACAAAGGGCAGAGGUGAAGGGCAUUCACCAGGUCUCCUUACGGAGUGCUGGUGGGGGCUGUCCCACAAACUGCCAUUCCCAUCCCACUGGCCAGAAUCUGGCCACAUGGACACCUAGCUGUGAGGAGGGCUGAGAACAGAGCAUUUGCUCUGGGGGGGCAUGUGUAAUUUUGCUAUUAUUCCAGAAGGGUGGCGAGUAAGCCAUUGAGGAAGGCAAACUAGCAGUCUCUGCCAUGGUGUGUCUGUCUGAUCUUAGACUCUACUGUUGAGAAAGCAUUGGAUGGAGUCAAGCAUGCUCCUUAGUUCAGGCUCUGCAUUCUGAGCAUAUUUAAAUUUUGAAGAUGACGCCUCAUAUUCUGUCUCCUCUCCAAUCCCAGGAAGUAAUACACUGAUGAUGUCACUCAGUGGUCACUUCAACAGCCACGGCCCCUCAAAGUCCCCCUGCCAGAGGAUGCUCCAGGCUGUGAGCAGCUUUUCAAAACCCGCUGCUUUCCAACAAUGUAGCGCUCAGUGGAGACCGGGAAAUAAAGGAAUAAAAGGGAAACGCAAAGUUAGCAGAAGCCCAAAGAAAAAUCACAGGGAGUUGACGGUUCAAUGGUUUGUUGGAAAGAGUGAAUCAUUCAUCUCAUCAGCGUUUUCUCAAAGGGAAAACCUUCCAUCUCCUUGGGUUUUAAUUACAGCAGAUGCCACGCCUGAGGAGUAUUCGAUCCGAGGAGAAGUUGACCCAGAAAAUUGCCACCAGGGCAUCUAGAAAAUUAGCUAGUGAAAGAGGAAACACGGCAUCUUUGGGGACCAAUGGGCAUCAGCUACCUGCUUUAGAGUUUGAGAAAUUGCUAGAAUUAUCGCCAGGAAUUUCUCAGUUGGGUGACCUUACCCAACGCCAGAAGAUCUGACUAUUGGAUAAACCCUGAGGGACCAGAAAUAAUUCCAUGCCCAGACCCAGGCUUCUCAACCUCAGCAGGACACCUGCAGCCGGAUGAUUUCCUACAGUGAGUGCCACCUCUGUGCCGGAGGUCAUACGGCAGGGUCCUCGAACUCUACCCACUAGGGGCCAGUAACACUCGCCCAGUUCUGACACCCAAAAAGAUUUUCAGACACGGACCAAUGUCCCCCAGUUGCAAAACAGACUCCAGACUCCAGUCAAGAGCCACUGUUUUUUAAAUUUUUUUAAUUUUAUUUUAUUAUUAUUGUUAUUAUUAUUUUUUUUUUUUUUUAGAGCUGCACCUGAGGCAUGUGGAAGUUCCCAGGCUAGGGGUCUAAUUGAAGCCGCAGCUGCCAGCCUACACCACAGCCACAGCAGGGCCAGAUCCAAGCUGUGUCUAUAAUUUGUGCGAACAUCAGAUCCUUAACCCACUGAGCAAGGCCAGGGAUUGAACCUGCAUCCUCAUGGAUACUAGUUGGGUUCUUAACCCAAUGAGCCACAACAGGAACUCCCAAGAACCACUGGAUUUUUUUUUUUUAAUGGCUGCACCCACAGCAUAUGGAAGUUCCCAGGCCAAGGAUUGAAUCGGAGCCACAGCUGUGACCUAUACCAAACCUGCACCUCCACAGUGACCCGAGACUCUGCAGUCAGAUUCUUAACCCACCGCAGGAACACCAAGAACCACUGGUCUUGAUCCUCUUUUAGAAUUUUGAAACAGAGACUCAACGCUGAUAACUAUGCAUUUGGGUAGGACAUAGAGCAGUGCCCUCGAACUCUACCCACUUAUUCAGAGGCCACUGUACGCUUUCAGUUUCAUAUUUUCACUCCCUUGGUCUUUCAUUCCCUCAGUCAGCGACCUUGGGACUCAGGAGUGGCCCAGGAAGGGAGGCUCCCUAAUACCGUGGAGAGCUCUGCCCCCUUGGCACUCAGCACACACUGGGCUUCAAGCCCUGGAGAAGGACUGUCACAUCACUCCCACGGCUGCCCCCAGAGCCCACACCCCUGUGAUCCCCAUUUCACAGAGAAAAUAACUGAGGCUCAACAAGGUCAAGUCCCUUCCCCAAGGACACACAGCUUGGAAAUAUCCGGUUGCAGGAAUUUGAACCCAUAUCAUCUGAACCCAGAAGCUUCAUUUUUAACCAUUUAGGUUUUUUGGAGGUUUUUUGUUGGUUGGUUUGUUUUGGUUUGGGUUUGUUUUUUGAUUGUGGCCACACUCAUGGCAUGUAGAAGUUCAGGAGCCAGGGAUUGACCUCAAGCCACAGCAGUGACAACGCCAAAGGCCACCAGGGAACUCUAGCCAUUAAUUUAAUAUCAAUGACACGCUAAGCAUUUUGCCUGGUGCUUAGCAUUACUUCAAACCAUCUAGGGGAGGGGGUUACAGGCCCCACUUCAUGGAUAAAGGAUGCUGCCUACCCAUCUAAGUAAAGUGGGCUGCUGCGACAGUCAGUUACAUCUGGAAAAGAAGUCCUUGAAGGCUGAAUGCAGCAAAGCAGCUCUGCUCAAAGUCUGUGGUUUAGAUCAUUUCAGGAUUCUUUUUUUUUUUUUUUUUUUUUUUGCUUUUUAGGGCUGCACCCACGGCAUACAGAGGCUCCCAGGCUAGGGGUUGAAUCAGAGCUACAGCUGCUGGCCUACACCACAGCCACAGCAACACAGGAUCCAAGCCAUGUCUGCAAGCUACAGCACAGCUCACAGCAGCACCAGAUCCUUAUCCACUGAGCAAGGCCAGGGAUUGAACCCAAAACUUCAUGGUUAUUAGUCAGAUUCAUUUCUGCUGCGCCACGAUGGGAACUCUCAUUUCUGGAUUCUUCUUUUUAACAAGUGCGUGGCAUGGUCAGAUUCUCAGACAACCUGAGUGGAAUCAACCUAGUACAGAAAAUAACUGGAGGAAAGGAGCCCCUUCGCCCAGGCAGCACCAGCAACAAACACAUAAAAUGCAGGGAGAAGUUGAAGAAGCAUGUGGAAAAGGCUUUAACUUUAUUAAGGCAUAGAAAGGAAAAAAUAGUAAAGCACAUUCUUUUAGGUAGGAAAUUUCAACAUAGGAAGCCAUUAGCUGUCCUUAAACUUGCCUCUAGAUUUAUCUAAGGUAAAGAUCUUUCUGAAGGCUACCCCACGAGUGAUGGGCAUUCACAGAAACCAGAGAAGUCUGGCAAAUGACAACCACCAAUAUUCAUCGAGAGAUGACUGUCCCAGGCACCUCGGCUUUAGGUCCUAGCAUCAUCCCCGUUUUACAGAUGGUGAAACUGGGGUUUUAGUAUCUUUGUCAAGAUCCCAGGGGGAGUACAAGGCAGGGAAGGAAUUGGAACCCAAACAGUUCUCUUUAAAUAUUACAGAGUAUUGACCUCCUCUUUUGCCCCCAAAAGUAGGAUGUGGUCUGUCUUUCUUCAAAAAGAGAAUCUUGGUCAUCUUGAGGAAGUGACAUUUGAGAUUUUUGAAAGAUGUCAUGCCUUUGAGUAUCAGUCCCCCAAAGAGGCUAAUGGAUGAAAAGAAUCUUGUGUUUACAUGUAAUGUAGUGUAUUCCUCUGUUAAAAGACUUAUGACAUUAUAUUGUCAGUGUCUAAGAGUCUCUUGACUACAAGCUCCUUAAGGGUAGAGACUGUACCAGUAAGGAUGAUUUUGGCUACAAAUAACAUAGUAGCCUCUUAAGAGACUCAGAUGAAAAAGCAAUUAUGUUACUUAACAAAAGCCUAUAGGUCCAGCCGUUCAAUAAUUGAAGGUCAACAUUUUCUGUCUCUCCCCUCAUGGUUGCAAUGUAGCUGCUGUAGCUCCAGACAUUGUACUUUUACCAAAAGGCAUCUCAAGCAGAGGGCAAGUUAGAUGGGGCAAAGGUGUUUCUUCUUAUGUGCUUUUCUCUUUUCAAGAAGGAAAAUAAUUACCAGUAGUCCCUAGACAACUUUCCCUUAUGUCGCAAAGAAUAAAACUGGGUCACGUGACCACACCUUGCCCAUUCAUGAAGGGGAAUAGGACUGCCUUGAUGGGCUUAGUACAGUCAUGAUUUGUUUUCUGGGAUUGGACACAUUGCCACUAACACAAAGUCCGGGUUCUGCUACUGGAAACAAGAGGGGACAGUUGUUGUCAGGCAAACAAUAGGGAAUGUCCCAAUGACCAUGGCUGUCAUUUCAUCUCCAGUAUCUCACAUAGUGAGACACAUACCUGACACACACUGAGUGAAUAAAUGUUUGUCGAAUGAAUGAGAGACUGUAUUAGUCAGCUUGGGCUGCUACGGUUUAGACCAUAGCCUGGGUGACUUAACAGAAACCUAUUUUCUCACAGUUCUAGAAGGUGGAAGUCCAAGAUCAGGGAAUUAGCACAAUGUCUGGCAAGAAACCUCUGUGUGACGUGCAGAUGGCCACCUUCUGGUUGUGUCUUCACAUAGGAGAGAGAGAGAAAGAGAGGGACUUAUUCUUCUUAUAAGUCCACAGUCCUAUAGAGUUAGGGUCCCACUCGUAUGCCUCAUUUAACAUUAAUUACCUUCUAGAGACUCUAUCUCCAGACACAGUUACACUGAAGAAUUAGGGCUUCCCUAUAUGAAUUUUGGGAAGACACAAAUCAGUUUAUAGUAGAGACCAAAUGAAUAAACAAAUGUCCAACGAAUGACUGAAUGAUCCAAUGAAUGAGUGUUUGUACAACCGAAUGAAUCAAUGAAUCAAUGAAUACGUCAAGAUCAAAUACAUGAAGGGCAGCAGAGGUUUAGUUAGAUAAUGUUUCAGUGCCAACAGAAGCAAAAGUUUGCAAUUUAAUGCAGAGCCAAAAUAGUGCUGAACUGUGACUUCGGGAAAAUCUCCUGGAAACAUCCUUUCUCCCUUCAGAAAUGUGACUGAAUGAAUAAUAUGUGGCAUUUCAUCACCCUCAACUUAUGACAUGAUGCCCUGCAAAUGCACAACCGAUCACCGAAAGGACAAAAGCCAAUGACCGUGGAUGAGCACAGAAGCACCAGGGAAGCAACAGUUGGGAUGCUAGCCCACAGCAACAUCCGAGGACAGGACGGCAAGCAAGAAUGGCCCUCAGCCAUCACACCUUGUUCCCUGUCAUCACCUGCUCACGCUGAAAGCACCAACCUGGACAUUAAGUCAAACCUAAUACAUUAUACCCCCGCCUUGCGAGAACUCAACACAGCGCAAAUCUCAAUUCUCAGAAAAAUGUGGACACACAUGAGGCAAAACCUAGACUAUUCAUCAUCAACCAGGAACUCAGUCUUUAUUUUUUUCUUUGAAAGGAAUGUUUUCCAUAAAAGCCGU